GUCAACUUCCUGUUCACAUGUGGUCAAAGACACUAAUCUGAGAGCCCCCAGAGUACCAUUGGACCACGUUGAAGGAUUGCUGUCAGGAUGGGAGUGGCCGAGCUCUGGGUGAACAAGACUGUACACUCCUCCCUCUAAUCGCUGCCUCUCACAUCUGCAAGAUAGCUCAGGAGCAGAGUUGUUCGACUGUAGUAGGGGACAAAUUGUUUACCAGCGGCAUCAACCUGGCCAAAGAACAUGGGGACCCCUGUGAAACAAAGACUACCAAGACCAGGCUGAAUUGAAACCUUCACCUUGUGAUCCACUGAAGUCACCGGCUAAUGGUCCAUGCAAAGGUCAGGAAUCUCUGAUUCAGUCAGUUAUGUAUAUUUGAGCCUGUUUAUUUUCUAUUACAGUUCUGCCAAGCAUACAAUACACUUUUUGUUGCAUGAGUAAUUUAAUGUAUUUCUAUACAAUUAAAAACUUUAAAAUGCUAUUCGGAGAAGAGCAAAAACAAGCAAAAAUGACCUGUCAUUAUCAGCCAGGCUGUAACGAUCGUUGUUAGAAGGAUUGGACCAAGGUGCAGCGCGGAAGGCGUUCAUCAUGAUUAUUAAUGUGAACCAGCAACAAAACAAUAAAGCGUAACAAAAUGAAAGUGCAGCUUUGUAGUGCAAAAAGGCGACAAUACAAAAACAAGAUCCCACGCACAACAGGU